UACGUAGGGUGCGAGCGUUGUUCGGAAUUAUUGGGCGUAAAGAGCUCGUAGGCGGUUUGUCGCGUCUGCUGUGAAAACUCGAGGCUCAACCUCGGGCUUGCAGUGGGUACGGGCAGACUAGAGUGCGGUAGGGGUGACUGGAAUUCCUGGUGUAGCGGUGGAAUGCGCAGAUAUCAGGAGGAACACCGAUGGCGAAGGCAGGUCUCUGGGCCAUUACUGACACUGAGAAGCGAAAGCAUGGGGAGCGAACAGG
rnacentral:rRNA from 1 species